rnacentral:lncRNA from 1 species
AUGUUUAUUGAGACCCAGGCUUCGCCGAGUAUUCUCCAUACCCAAACCCAGGAAGGGUCCCUUUCAGACCGAAGGCAGAAGUCUGGGCAAGUGCGAGCCACUCAACAGCAGUAUGAUUUCACCCCGACACAAACCAUAGUUGAAAGGAGCUCAUUCGAUUGGCUGACUGGGAGCAGCAUUGACCCAUUGGCAGAUCACACACUCGUCCCUUCAGAAUCCUCAUCUUCCUCCUUGCUGUUUGCUCACAAGAGGAGUGAAAAGUCACAGAGAAUAUCCUGGAAGUCGGUAGGACCUGACUUUGGGAUAAAAAAGUUGGGCCUUCCUGGUGAUGAGGUAGAUAACCAAGCAAAAAGUGGUAAGUAAAAUGCUGAAAUAUGUUUAAUAUGUAUUGCCCCUCCUGCAGAAGCUUACAUGGAGAGAGCAUUAUUUCUGACUGUCCACAUUUCCUUGAAAGCUGUAACGGAAAUCAUUAAAAUUCAACCCAUCAAUCAUUGUUUGGACACUUAACCAUGUUGAAAACAUUAUUUUCAGAUGUUCUUCAAGAAAUACUAUGUAUGUGGCAAGUCCAUUAGUUUAGUGACGUCUGGAACAUUAAGGGUAGGUAAGGCAGUAAAUGGGGUAGAAUUAGUAAGCCUAGUCUCAGGGGUGAGAGGUUAAAUCCAAGCACAGUGUGGAGCAAGUAUUUGGAAAGACUAGAUAAGGAAGGUAUUUGACAAGAGCCUGGAAGCCUAGGAUGUAGGAAGAGAAAUGACGAAAAAGAUGUAGAUAGAUAUUUUUGUUGAGUGGAAGAAACUCAAAAAUUAGUUCAGCAAGGUUUGUGGAGAGCAAAAUCCACUCUGAGGACCAUGUGUGGUCCAGCUGGAUCCAUGUCCUGGGAAACUUGGAGAGUUGUGAAGGAACCUGUAAAGGGAAGAAGCAGGGUACACUUUAGGAAGCUACCACCUGAUGAAUGGAGUAGAAUUAGUCAUGGGUACCACGUGGCGUGAGAAGAAUGGCAAAGCCCAGAAGCACUAU